GUUACCAGUGGAAGAAUCUGGCCAGCAGCUGAUGUCCUCCUAUUUUAAGGUCACUCAGUGCUAUGGGCUUUUCAGCCAAGUCCUCUUGAACUGGAAAGAAAAUACAGAAACCUGUGUUUGUGAAGCAUCUUGCCUCUCUGUGUCAACUUGCUCUUCUGAUCUGCAGAUAAGGUAGGUAAGUGGACACUUCCCUUCAACCACAGGAGCACCUGCAGAAGAAACUUGGACAGAGCUCUGAAGAAAAAUGCAGAGGAACCACAGUCACUGAAAGUCCAGUACUAUCUCAUUACCACUAUUACUAAAAUCAUCUGCCAUCAGGAAUGGAAAAUAGCCAAAAGGGAGAAGUGUAACCUUCUAAAUACACUGUCAAAAUGGGCAGCUGAAAUGAAAAAAGCAAGACAAAACUGAACUAGAGCGAGAGCAAAUGCUUUAGAAGAAAAAUGGUUUCCUCGAAAAUCCUUGGAUAUCAAAUGCACCUGCACAUUGAGGAUAGGCAAGAAAACAGUUCAGCUUGUCAACAUUGGGUUCAACUAUUCUGUCCCAGUCAGCCCUACCUCAGUUUAAUUGCUGGGUGAGGAAGGAGGGAUCUUCACAGCUCAGAAUCCUCACUGGAGAAAUGGCUGCUGCCUCUCGGCUCUUGGCUGGCCACAUGAAUGGGACUGGAGCUGUGUACAACCUUCAGGCACUGUUUUCUGUGGGCUUGGCUGAGAGUAAAUAAAUUCUUGUCUUCAGAAUCUUUUGACUUCUUCAGUGCUACUGAUUACCCAAGUGAGAGCAAUAAAUAAAUAAAAAAUUUAAAAAUUCUCUUA